rnacentral:rRNA from 1 species
GACGAACGCUGGCGGCGUGCUUAACACAUGCAAGUCGAACGGAAAGGCCCUGCUUUUGUGGGGUGCUCGAGUGGCGAACGGGUGAGUAACACGUGAGUAACCUGCCCUUGACUUUGGGAUAACUUCAGGAAACUGGGGCUAAUACCGGAUAGGAGCUCCUGCUGCAUGGUGGGGGUUGGAAAGUUUUGGCGGUUGGGGAUGGACUCGCGGCUUAUCAGCUUGUUGGUGGGGUAGUGGCUUACCAAGGCUUUGACGGGUAGCCGGCCUGAGAGGGUGACCGGCAAAAUGGGGACUGGGAUACGGCCCAGACUCCACCGGGAGGAAGCGGUGGGGAAUAUUGCACAAUGGGCGGAGGCCUGAUGCAGAACCGCCGCGUGGGGGAUGACGGCCUUCGGGUUGUAAACCGCUUUCGCCUGUGACGAAGCGUGAGUGACGGUAAUGGGAAAAGAAGCACCGGCUAACUACGU